rnacentral:rRNA from 1 species
AGAGUUUGAUCAUGGCUCAGAACGAACGCUGGCGGUAUGCUUAACACAUGCAAGUCGAACGAGAAAACUUCUUCGGGAGUGAGUAGAGUGGCGCACGGGUGAGUAACACGUAGAUAACUUACCCUUCAGCCUGGGACAACCCUUCGAAAGGAGGGCUAAUACCGGAUAACACCUUGAGUCGAAUGGCUUAAGGUUGAAAGAUUUAUCACUGAAGGAUGGGUCUGCGUACCAUUAGCUAGUUGGUGGGGUAACGGCUUACCAAGGCAACGAUGGUUAGCGGGUCUGAGAGGAUGAUCCGCCACACUGGAACUGAGAUACGGUCCAGACUCCUACGGGAGGCAGCAGUGGGGAAUUUUGCGCAAUGGGCGAAAGCCUGACGCAGCAAUACCGCGUGAGUGAAGAAGGCCUUUGGGUCGUAAAGCUCUUUUCUUAGGGAAGAUAGUGACGGUACCUAAGGAAUAAGCACCGGCUAACUCCGUGCCAGCAGCCGCGGUAAUA